rnacentral:pre_miRNA from 1 species
GAUAUACUCCCUCCGUUCCGAAUUAUUUGUCGUGGGUAUGGAUGUAUCUAGAUGUAUUUUAGUUCUAAAUAUAUACAUCCAUUUCUGCGACGAGUAAUUUGGAAUGGAGGGAGUACUUA